GUAUAUUUCUUAUUACAUCAUCGUAUACACGUAUCAUACGGUCCUAAUAGGCCAACAUAAUCAUUUAUAAACUCAAAACAUAGGCCGACAAGGCCGUACAAUCUUUCACGUACACGACAUAUGUCUACAAGCCUCUAAGAGUACAUAAAUGUCAUAAAGGUCGGGACAGAGUCCCACCAAAACAAACAAUACACGUCUAAAUCUUACUAAACAAACAAGCAACUCUGAAGCAAAUGGAGUGCACCAACAUCUUCCGCUGAGUUCAUAGCCUAUUUUGAGGGCUCUCGACCUGUCUAUCGGGACCUGCGGGCAUGAAACGCAGUGUCCCCAGGCAAAAGGGACGUCAGUAUGAAUAAUGUGCGGAGUAUGUAAGGCACAUAAAUAAAUACAUAAGAGACAUGGAAGAAAUAUAGAGUACAUGACUCAACCUGUAAGUCUGAAUAACUUUGUAAAUCAUGAAUUACUUUUAGCGUUAUGCAUAUGCGUAUGAAUGUCAUGUUGUGCAUAGAUACAUGUUUCAUUACAUCAUCAGCCUCUGAGGGUAUCCCAUCAUAUCAUAUCGGUCACUGUGUGCAAAAUCAUCAUCAUAUACCAGUUGAUCAAGUGGUGGUGCGUAUAUAACACCAUAACCUUUCCCAUAUCCCAUAUACAUACAUAUAUACGCGUAUAUAACGUCGUUUGAAUCCUAUUUCAGCCAUUGUGAGUAACAUCAUCAUCAUAUACCAAUAGAUCAUGUGGUGGUUCAUAUAUAACGCCAUAACCUUUUCCAUAUCCCAUAUACAUAUACAUAUAUAUAUAUAUACAUACACAUAUACGCGUAUAUAAUGUCGUCUGGUCAUGGGUCAAUGCACAUGAAUGCAAUGCAUGAAAAGUACGUUAAUAAAAUCUUUCGGAAUUGUCAUAAGACCAUUUUGACUUUAAGCAAUAUCAUAAAGUAAACUCUUUUUUUUUCAACUUUCAUAUAUUUAUGAGACCCAUGAAUAGAUGAUAAAAUAUUAUGACACAUGGAAAUUCAAGAACAUAGAUAUCUCUAAUACUUCUAUGAAUAGAGUCAUUUAAGAAAUUUGUGCAUUUGCACAUUUUAUUCGUAUCGUAUGGAUCAUGCCAAAAGAAAGAAGGGAUAACCUUAACAUACCUGUUCCUGGAAUUAUUUGAACGGAGUGAAGCUUCUGCUUCCAUGAAAUAUGUUGAACGAAAUUUGACUGAAUCCUUUGAAAUUGAGAAGAAAACGUUUCUGGCUCUUUGAGUUUUAGAAGGAAUAAUGUUUGAAUUUCUUAUAAUUCACAUUGGAUUUGAAUGUUGGACAAAAUGGCCUGCUUCUAACGUCUUUGGUUUGAAUCCAAAGACAGAAUGUGGUUUCUUAAUGAAUGGCUUACUAAGUUUCCAAAAAAAUGAUUAAAA
rnacentral:lncRNA from 1 species